rnacentral:rRNA from 1 species
GACGAACGCUGGCGGCGUGCUUAACACAUGCAAGUCGAACGGUGAACUCCGCUUGCGGGGGAUCAGUGGCGAACGGGUGAGUAACACGUGGGCAACCUGCCCUCAGCUCUGGGAUAACUCCAAGAAAUUGGGGCUAAUACCGGAUACGACCGCUGACCGCAUGGUCUGGUGGUGGAAAGAUUUAUCGGCUGGGGAUGGGCCCGCGGCCUAUCAGCUUGUUGGUGGGGUAGUGGCCUACCAAGGCGACGACGGGUAGCCGGCCUGAGAGGGUGACCGGCCACACUGGGACUGAGACACGGCCCAGACUCCUACGGGAGGCAGCAGUGGGGAAUAUUGCGCAAUGGGCGAAAGCCUGACGCAGCGACGCCGCGUGGGGGAUGACGGCCUUCGGGUUGUAAACCUCUUUCAGCAGGGACGAAGCGAAAGUGACGGUACCUGCAGAAGAAGCACCGGCCAACUACGUG